rnacentral:lncRNA from 1 species
GAGACGGAGUCUUCGCUUUGUCACCAGUCUGGAGUGCAGUGGCAUGAUCCCGGCUCACCGCAACCUCUGCCUCCCGGGUUCAAGUGAUUCUCCUGCCUCAGCCUCCUGAGCAGCUGGGACGACAGAGGGCUAUCAUUUGGGACGCAGAGGGAGAAGACAGGACCGUCUCUGGCAAAAGCACACUGCCUUGUUGAUUGUGCAUUGUAGCAGUAAUGUACAAAUGCCAAAGGCAGAAUGAGGCAGAAUGACACUGGACAAUCACUGUGGGAGGAGGAAGAUGAGUUUAAAGUAAAGAUCAAAUUCUCCAGGUCUGUACCCUAAUAAGAGAUGGUGGGCCAGACGUGGUGGCUGAUGCCUGUAUUCCCAGCCCUUUGGGAGGCCGAGGCAGGCGAAUCACGAGGUCAAGAGACUGAGAUCAUCCUGGCCAACAUGGUGAAACCCGAUCUUUACAAAAAAUACAAAAAAUUAGCUGGGCUUUGUGGCACACGCCUGCAGUCCCAGCUACUUGGAGGCUGAGGCAGGAGAAUCACUUGAACCUGGGAGGCAGAGGUUGCAGUGAACCGAGAUCGUGCCACUGCACUCCAGCCUGGUGACAGAGAGAGACUCCAUCUCAAAUAAAUAAAUAAAUAAAUAAGGCCGGCCGUGGUGGCUCAUGCCUGUAAUCUCAGCACUUUGGGAGGCCGAGGCAGGUGGAUCACGAGGUCAGGAGAUGGAGACCAUCCUGGCUAACACAGUGAAACCCCGUCUCUACUAAAAAAUACAAAAAAUUAGCCGGGCGUGGUGGCGGGCGCCUGUGGUCCCAGCUACUCGGGAGGCUGAGGCAGGAGAAUGGCGUGAACCUGGGAGGCGGAGCUUGCAGUGAGCCGAGAUUGCGCCACUGCACUCCAGCCUGGGUGACAGAGCGAGAUUCUGUCUCAAAAUAAAUAAAUAAAUAAGUAAAUAAAUAAACAAAUAAAUAAAUAAAAAGAGAUGGUGCCUUCCUUGAGGUUAAAUAUAAUCUCCUUUUGUUCUUUUUAAAAAUUAAUACAUCGAUUCUAUCCCAGUGUCAUACAUUUGUCUUAGAUAGUGCUCAAUGAAUAUAUGUCAAAAGAAUUAAAAAAUAAAUGAGGAAACAGAAGAAGAAAGAAAAAAAGAAGAUGGUCUGCUUCUAUAGCUCACAUUUAACACUGUAUUUCACUAAGAAACCCAACAUAGAGAAGACGUGUGAUGCGUCAUGUAGGCUAACUGGUGUAUUUUGAUUCAAUAUACCCUCAAAAUAAGUUCAUAAGUGAGCUUCAUGAAUGAGAUAUAGACCUCUGAAGACCUGAUACUUUACCAACAUUAACUGAAUUUUUAUGCAGUGGUGAUGAUACCAAGGCAAGGCACCCUGAGUACCUAUGUGUGGAUCUCAGAGAUUAACGGUAUAGACCCUGGUCGGUCCCCCUAAGUUUAAACCAUAGCUCCAUUAUUAACCAUCUAAAUAAACCUAGCCCAGCUAAGAAAUUUUCUCAUUUGUUAAUUAAAAUGAAAUGAGUGUCUACCCUCAAAGGUAAUGUUAAAGAUUUAAUUAAACUAUGCAAUGCCCUUGUCUAUUGAUAUCAAUGGAAAUUUAAUUAAAACAUGCAAUUGUUGUUAUAAAUGGAUUGAAAUAAAAUGAUUAUUUCCCACAUCCAUUUUUUUAAAAUGGAAAAACACUUUUACUUAAGUUGUUCAUUUCUAGGCAGUAAAAACAUGGGAAUUUGUUAUAUUUACUCACAAGAUACAGAUAUCAAUCUUCCACAUUUUUCUUUCCUACAAAAGAUAUCGUGGCUUAUGUUUAUUGUUUAUCUCAUUCCCAC